CCCGUGCUACAACCGCACAGAACAGGUUUUAAGUUUUUGCUGCUGCAAAACGCCUGUGAUGGCGAGUCUUAGUCUAUAA
rfam:Bacillus methanolicus MGA3, complete genome.